rnacentral:misc_RNA from 1 species
GAUGAAGAACGUAGCGAAAUGCGAUAAGUAGUGUGAAUUGCAGAAUUCCGUGAAUCAUCGAAUCUUUGAACGCACAUUGCGCCCGCCAGUAUUCUGGCGGGCAUGCCUGUUCGAGCGUCAUUACAACCCUCAAGCCCCCCGGCUUGGUGUUGGGGACCGGCCACCGGUGCCCUGCUGCUUCCGCGGCAGGCGCGCCCGGCCGCCCCCGAAAUGAAUUGGCGGCCCCGUCGCGGCCUCCCUCUGCGUAGUAGCACACAUCUCGCAGCUGGAGCGCGGCGCGGCCACUGCCGUAAAACGCACCAACUUUUUUUUACAGUUGACCUCGAAUCAGGUAGGAAUACCCGCUGAACUUAAGCAUAUCAAUAAGCGGAGGA